GAUGAACGCUGGCGGCGUGCCUAAUACAUGCAAGUCGAGCGAACAGAUGAGGAGCUUGCUCCUCUGACGUUAGCGGCGGACGGGUGAGUAACACGUGGAUAACCUACCUAUAAGACUGGGAUAACUUCGGGAAACCGGAGCUAAUACCGGAUAAUAUAUUGAACCGCAUGGUUCAAUAGUGAAAGACGGUUUUGCUGUCGCUUAUAGAUGGAUCUGCGCCGCAUUAGCUAGUUGGUAAGGUAACGGCUUACCAAGGCGACGAUGCGUAGCCGACCUGAGAGGGUGAUCGGCCACACUGGAACUGAGACACGGUCCAGACUCCUACGGGAGGCAGCAGUAGGGAAUCUUCCGCAAUGGGCGAAAGCCUGACGGAGCAACGCUGCGUGAGUGAUGAAGGUCUUCGGAUCGUAAAACUCUGUUAUUAGGGAAGAACAAAUGUGUAAGUAACUAUGCACGUCUUGACGGUACCUAAUCAGAAAGCCACGGCUAACUACGUG
rnacentral:rRNA from 1 species